UCGUCCAGCGCUCCUCUGUCGUGCGUUUUCUUCGGUUUUAAUCACUUUUUAAGCAUUUCACCCUCGGCAUGAAAAGUCCGGUAACAAAUUUAACAACUAGAGAGUCAAACGGAAGUUUAUUUGUGUCGAUACGAAGCGGAGAUUUGUUUUUAGCAGCGGUUUAACGCGAACGUUAGCCCGGGAGAGACCGACUUUACCUCCGUUUGACGGACUGCGGGGGACAUGCUGGAGUCCGCCUGCGCUCUGUCUCUGCUGGACUUCAAGCAGCUGUCCGUCUGCUGGAGGACUGCGCGAGGACACCAGCAGACCUGAGACCAGCUGAGAGUCUGCAGCUGGACGACCACCUGCCGGUCCUCGCUCUGAGGCCGCCGUCUGUCUGCCUGGUGGACUGCAUGAAAACGCCGGAA